GUGGUUGUGGCUCAGCGGUAGAGUGCUCGCCUAGCAUGUGUGAGGGUCUAGGUUCAAUCCCCAGCACCACA
rnacentral:tRNA from 1 species